GGAUGCUAUCAUACAAGCACUAACGCACCGGAUCCCAUCAGAACUUUAAAGUUAAGCAAGCUGGGAGAGAGUAGUACUAGGAUGGGUGACUCCUUGGGAAGUCAUCGUGUUGCAUCAC
rnacentral:rRNA from 1 species